GUAACCUGCCCUUGACUCUGGGAUAAGCCUGGGAAACCGGGUCUAAUACCGGAUAUGACUUCCUGCCGCGUGGUGGGGGGUGGAAAGAUUUUGUGGUUUUGGAUGGACUCGCGGCCUAUCAUCUUGUUGGUGGGGUAAUGGCUUACCAAGGCGACGACGGGUAGCCGGCCUGAGAGGGUGACCGGCCACACUGGGACUGAGACACGGCCCAGACUCCUACGGGAGGCAGCAGUGGGGAAUAUUGCACAAUGGGCGCAAGCCUGAUGCAGCGACGCCGCGUGAGGGAUGACGGCCUUCGGGUUGUAAACCUCUUUCAGCAGGGAAGAAGCGGAAGUGACGGUACCUGCAGAAGAAGCGCCGGCUAACUACGUGCCAGCAGCCGCGGUAAUACGUAGGGCGCAAGCGUUGUCCGGAAUUAUUGGGCGUAAAGAGCUCGUAGGCGGUUUGUCGCGUCUGCUGUGAAAGUCCGGGGCUCAACUCCGGGUCUGCAGUGGGUACGGGCAGACUGGAGUGCAGUAGGGGAGACUGGAAUUCCUGGUGUAGCGGUGAAAUGCGCAGAUAUCAGGAGGAACACCGAUGGCGAAGGCAGGUCUCUGGGCAGUAACUGACGCUGAGGAGCGAAAGCAUGGGGAGCGAACAGGAUUAGAUACCCUGGUAGUCCAUGCCGUAAACGUUGGGCACUAGGUGUGGGGGACAUUCCACGUUUUCCGCGCCGUAGCUAACGCAUUAAGUGCCCCGCCUGGGGAGUACGGCCGCAAGGCUAAAACUCAAAGGAAUUGACGGGGGCCCGCACAAGCGGCGGAGCAUGCGGAUUAAUUCGAUGCAACGCGAAGAACCUUACCAAGGCUUGACAUGAACCGGAUCGCCGCAGAAAUGCGGUUUCCCUUCUGGGGCUGGUCAACAGGGGGGGAAGGGUGGCCUCCACUCCUGGCCUGAAAAGGUGGGUUAAAUCCCGCAACCAACGCCACCCUCCUUCCAUGGUGCCCGCCGCUCGACCGGGGACACACAUAAGACAGCGCGGGUCUACUCUCAGAAAAGUGGGGACAACAUCUCAUCAUCAUGCGCCUCAUGUCUCGUGC
rnacentral:rRNA from 1 species